AAAAAAAAAAAUUAAUACAAUAACAUAAAGAAAACAAGUCUAAUACAACAAGAUUGGCAUUAUAAUUUUUGUUCAGCUCAAAUAAGAAGGGGCUCAAGAAUUGAAAUCCCCAGAACCUUUUUUCUUUUUUUUGUGUAUUUUUUAGGGUUUAAUUAAGCCUAUUGAUUUUCUAACCAAAUCACAAUUUCCUUCCCGCCGAUCCCCCGAUGAGAAGUUUCGCUCUGUAGAGUGAGAGCUCAAUUCGAGUCGCUCCAUCUCCUUUCCCUUGCUUAAAUUCUUCGCUUCUCCGAGGUCUUCUGUUUUUUUUAGGUUGUUUUUCUUUUCCCACAUCUUUCGGUUGCUGUUUCUUUAACGGAUUGGCCUUUUGUCUCCUUGGCAACCAAACAGAGGGAAUUGCUAUUGUAGAUGUGAAGGUCAUUUUAAUGUGCCGCUCAGAGGAGAAUUUUGAUACCAGGUGUUGAGAAGGUUGGAUCAGAAGUUUUUGAAUUAGUUCUUUAAGAACUGAACUCUAAUAUCAUUUAUACUUGAAGAGUUGAGAGAGAAAGAAUGUCUGGUAGAAAUCGCGGGCCUCCACUCCCUAUGAAAGGCGUACCUCACCCUGGAAUAAUGCCUGCCAUUCAUGAACCACACUUUGCCAGAGGGCUAGGACAAUUGGCAACCCAUCCAGCUUUAAUGGAAGAAAUGAGAGAAUCCCAGUUUGGGAUAGAUCCCAGGCGGCUUCCCCCUCAUCCAGUGAUAAUGGAGGAGCGCCUUGCUGUCCAGUACCAAGAUAUUCAAGGUCUUUUGGCUGACAACCAAAGGCUAGCUGCAACCCAUGUUGCACUUAAGCAGGAAUUGGAAGUUGCCCAGCACGAGUUGCAACAGAUGGCACAUUUUGCUGAUUCAUUGCACCUGGAGAAGGAUGUGCAGAUGAGAGAAUUGCAUGACAAGUCUCUAAGGCUGGAAGCAGAUCUUCAUGAGUUGGAGGCUAUGCGGACUGAGUUGCGUCAUGUUCGUUCUGAUAUUAAGGAACUUGGUGAUAAUAGGCAAGAACUUACAGGUCGUGUACAAGCAAUGACUCAAGAUUUGGCUAGGUAUAAUGCUGAUUUGCAGCAAUUGCCAGCUCUGAAGGCAGAAAUUGAUAGUAUGAAGCAGGAAUUACAGCAUGCUCGAGCUGCCAUUGAGUAUGAGAAGAAAGGAUCUGCUGAGAAUUAUGAACGUGGUCAAAUAAUGGAGAAGAAAAUGAUUGCAAUGGCUCGGGAGAUGGAGAAGCUCCGUGCAGAGCAUGCUAAUGCAGAGAAGCGAGCCCGUGCUGCUGCGGCUGUGGGUAAUCCAGGUGCAGCUUAUAAUGCAAAUUAUGGCAAUCCUGAGGCUGGAUAUGUAGGAAAUCCCUAUCCUGUUGGCUAUGGCAUGAACCCUGUGCAAGCUAAUGUUGAAAAUUAUCCUCAAUAUGGAGCUGGACCUGGUCCCUGGGGUGCUUACGAUAUGCAGCGAGCUCAAGGACACCGAUAGACUGGUUUCUGAGUAGCUAAGAUGUGUGUUAAAUGGCUUGGAACGUUGGGGCUUUUGACUGCAGCCUGUGCACGGGCCGAGAAUUUUCAUGAGGGACGGCUGUAGAACUGUUUGGUUUCUGCGCUGGAGUAAUUAAUUGACAAUAUGGCUUCCAUAUUGUUCAGAAACAUUCAGACCAACCCUUUAUUGUUGUAUUCUACUGCAUUCUUUAGAAGAAAGAAUCAUGUGUUCUGCACAUUGAAAAAGCGCUACACAGCCAAACAGCCACUCAAAAAAGAAAAAAGCAUGGUAAGCAAAUAAAAAUUUCACGAUAAACCCAGUCUAAAACACUUGAUAAACUCACAGAAGACUACGAAACAAUCAUCUUUGUAGAAACUCAUGUCCAACUCUUUACUCUAACCAAUGCCUUUGUGUUGGAAACUAACAUUAAUUGCACUCUGGUAAACAAAUGCACUCCACUACCCAGUGUGUUCUGGUAAACGACCCCAUUUUGGGCCAAGUCAUCAAAUUCUGUUACAUUGUUCUGUUCUUUGUUGUUUAAAAACGAAGCAGUGGUGUCAAAUUUUAUUUGUGAUUCUUAUAGUUCAAAACAGGCAGAGUGAGUUCGUAAUUGCAAAAGGAAUGCAAUUUAUGUUGAAUGGGAGUCCAUUUGUCCAAAUGUUUUCAAUGCCUAUUGGCUCUUGUAUUUUGCAACUGACCCUUCGAUGACAAACAAAGUUGUCUCUGUUUUUCAAGAAGCUAAAGAGCAUGGCGUUGCACUUGCUAGAGCGCUUUCAACGAUGCUCAAGACCUCUCUCUAUAGUACUCCCUGGCUCCUGCAAUGAUCAGGUCUUCCAGGGAUUGGAUUUUGUAAUAUCUGAAGCUAAGAGAAAUGGGAUUAAGCUGGUGUUGAGUUUGGUGAACCAUUAUGAGAACUUUCAGAGAAAAAGGGCUGUACAUUAAUGUCUGUAUCAUCUGAUUUCUUCACAAACUCAGUGGUCAAAGGAUGCUGCAAGAAUCGCAUCAAGGUCACUCACUAAUGCUGAUAUGGAAAAAUUGUGGUUGAUAAUUUUGAUGGAUUUUGUGGAGAUUCAUUUUAUCAUUAAUGGAGGAUCAAAUCCAGCAAGAGAGAAGGUACUUUGAGAGGAGAAAGAAUUGUGUAUGCAUGAAUGGAGAUUCACAAUCUGAAAUUUUUGCAAUGUCUGUUGUCAAAUGCGCCUGUUGUUAGCAUGACGAGGGAUUUGGGCAUUGGCAGAUGGGUUUGUUGCCGAGUUUGAAUACGGGGGAAGUGUACAUAAUUUUGAUUUUGCUAACCUGUGCUGAAAGUGACAAAAGGAAUUCAACUGGUAGCAAUAGCAAAGAAAAGAUGAUUGGAAUACUGUUCAAUUUCUCCCCUUAAUUUGAUCAUCAUAUAUAACUUAUUUUUUUUUGUUAUUUGCACAAGGUGUCAAGAGUUGUUUUUUUUAAUGGUCCCCGAUAAAUCCGAUUAAUCUCUACUCGCCAUCGGAGGUAAAGGGGCUAAAUAAGAGAAAUUCUGAAUCUGAUGUGCUUUUCCUCUUCAUAGAUACAACUAUAUAUACAGAAGCUAUGGAAUUUUUACAUAAUUACAUCGAUUAUUUCCUUAA